CCUACGGGAGACCGCAGUGAGGAAUAUUGGUCAAUGGACGAGAGUCUGAACCAGCCAAGUAGCGUGAAGGAUGACUGCCCUAUGGGUUGUAAACUUCUUUUAUAUGGGAAUAAAACGUUGCACGUGUGGGAUUUUGUAUGUACCUUAUGAAUAAGGAUCGGCUAACUCCGUGCCAGCAGCCGCGGUAAUACGGAGGAUCCGAGCGUUAUCCGGAUUUAUUGGGUUUAAAGGGAGCGUAGGUGGAUUGUUAAGUCAGUUGUGAAAGUUUGCGGCUCAACCGUAAAAUUGCAGUUGAAACUGGCAGUCUUGAGUACAGUAGAGGUAGGCGGAAUUCGUGGUGUAGCGGUGAAAUGCUUAGAUAUCACGAAGAACUCCGAUUGCGAAGGCAGUUCACUGAACUGCAACUCACACUGAGGCUCGAAAGUGUGGGUAUCAAACAGGAUUAGAUACCCUUGUAGUC
rnacentral:rRNA from 1 species